rnacentral:rRNA from 1 species
UACAGAGGUCCCAAGCGUUGUUCGGAUUCAUUGGGCGUAAAGGGUGCGUAGGCGGCGCGGUAAGUCGGGUGUGAAAUCUCGGAGCUUAACUCCGAAACUGCAUUCGAUACUGCCGUGCUUGAGGACUGGAGAGGAGACUGGAAUUUACGGUGUAGCGGUGAAAUGCGUAGAUAUCGUAAGGAAGACCGAGUGGCGAAGGCGGGUCUCUGGACAGUUCCUGACGCUGAGGCACGAAGGCCAGGGGAGCAAACGGG